GGGGAUGAGUGGGCAGUCAGGGUGACGUUAGAGUGCAAGGAGAAGGUCAUCUAAAGCCAAUCUAGUGACAAGGGGAACAUAUCCAGCCAUGCCGCGUGAGUGAAGAAGGCCUUGGGGUAGUAAAGCUCUCUCGGCCGGGAAGAAAUCGCAUAGGCUAAUACCCUGUGUGGAUGACGGUACCGGAAUAAGAAGCACCGGCUAACUACGUGCCAGCAGCCGCGGUAAUACGUAGGGUGCGAGCGUUUAUCGGAAUUACUGGGCGUAAAGGGUGCGCAGGCGGUUUAGUAAGUACAGGCGUGAAAUCCCCGGGCUCAACCUGGGCACUGCGCUUUGAUGACUGCUAAGCUAGAGUACGGCAGAGGGGGGUGGAAUUCCACGUGUAGCAGUGAAAUGCGUAGAUAAUGUGGAGGAACACCGAUGGCGAAGGCAGCCCCCUGGGCCGAUACUGACGCUCAUGCACGAAAGCGUGGGUAGCAAACAGGAUUAGAUACCCUGGUAGUCCACGCCCUAAACGAGGUCGAUUAGGUGUUGGGCGGGUCAACUUCUAGUACCCAGCUAACGAGUAGGUC
rnacentral:rRNA from 1 species